AAAGAUGAAUAUUUUUUUUAAAAACACAUCUGGAGAUUUUUUUUUGUGUUUUUCAUAUGCUUUAAUUCAAGUUUCUUGUUUAUUUGGCUACAUGAAUGAUAAUUUAUAUUUAAGAAGCUGAUGUUGAAAUGCCAUGAGUUUCAAUGGAUUACAGAUACGAAAUGUGGUUAGCAAGAAAACAAACAUGCAGUAUCGUACUGAUAUCCCAGAUCUAUGUCACGUGGUCAUUCCUAUUAUAUGCGGUGUCUGCAACUCCGAUUUGCACGCCGAUAUUUUUAUACACCUCAAUAACCAAAAUAUAAAUAAAAAUUUGUAGCUGUAGCAUAUUCAGGUCAGAAUAAUUAUUUAACCGGAGUUUAUAACGAGUUACUGCCUUUCCCGGAAGUACUUCUUGCAAAAACUUUGUAUAAAAUUAUAGUGUGUGAUUAAUAAUGAGUAAAACCGAAACAUAUUAAUAAUAACAAUUAAGAAUUAUAUUUAUUUUUAUUUAUAGAAAUUUUAUACAUGUUAUUAAUAAGGAAUUAUUCUAUCAAAAAUAAUUCCUCAUUUCCCCAUACGCUCUUUCUAACACAAUCAAAAAAUUGAAGAUAUCGGCCGCUCCCUGCACGGUAAUCGUCUGCAACACUCAGUGUGACACUAUUCAUACAUGAAUGAUAACAUCCGUUUGCUUUGUAUUUUUAUAUCCACCAGUUUUUAUUGCUACGAUAUGUAAGUAUAGUUGUAGUUUAGAUACAAAUAUUUGAUGCUUCACAGUAAUUUUCUUAAAUAACAUCGUGCAUGAUGUCCAUCAAUAGAAUAUUUAUAAAAUGAACAUGGUCUUUGCGAGUAUUUCUUGUUUUGCUUGAUGAACAACUCCUUGUUUGAUAAUUUGCUAAAAUAUGUUCUAUAGUGUAUCAAUUUCUCCAAAUUUCUGUUAAUUCGAGUUGCAUCAAAAUUGUAUAUCUAAAGCACAAUUUAUAUGACUUUUUUUUUUUUUUUUUUUUUUUACAAUUGAUAUGCAUUUCUUCGUAGCAUUUUCUAAUAAAACAAUUAUCUUCAACUAGCAUAUUACUCCAAUAUUUUAACAAAGAACAUUGCCAAACGCUCGGCAUCAGGUGUGAAUGUCACGGGUCCUCGGAGAUGACCUUAAAAACGGAUGACCCGUGUCACAGUAGGUGUGGCACGCUAAAGAACUCUCACUGCUCAAUGGCCAUAAGCGCCGAACAUAGGCCUAAAUUUGAAGCCCUUCACCGGUCUUAGUGACGUCUCCAUAUGAGUGAAAAAAUCUCGAGCGAGACGUUAAGCAAGAUACAUACCAUUAAGUUUCGUUAUUUAGUGACAUCUGUCGUGAAUACAAAUAUUGUUUUUCUUCCUUGAUGUGAGAGUAGUUUUUUCUUCUUUUCUUUUUGAUUUCGUGAAUUUAUUAUUAAAUUCAAGUUAUCAGAAGACAACAUAGCUCGCCGGGAAGCAUGACACUACUUGACCUAUCCUUUAAGUUCAAAAGGUUAAAGUUUUUGACAAAAUAGGUCGAAGUCCAAAGUUACUAGGUCAAACGUUUUCAUACCAUAUAUAAGGCUCGGCCAUGAGGCAUCUUAAUAUGAAAUAUCAAAUCCCUUUGGUUCAAAAGAUAUAGCCAAGGUUAAUCUGUUUGAAAAGAGGGUUAAAGUUGAAGGUCAAUGGUUCUGGUAACAAUUGAAAAGAAAUGUCUUCUAAUGAGGCAUUUAUAUGUGAAAUAUUAAAUUCCUGUCACUCUUGGUUAAAAAAAAAUAUAGCACAGGUUAAUGUUUUUGAAAAGUAGGCCAAAGUCCAAGGUUACAGGGUCAUAAGUCUUGGUACCAAAUUAAAGUAAUUUCAUGAGGCAUCUAUAUGUGAAAUAAGCCCCAUGCGACCCGAAAAGUCACAGUUCAAAUGAUUUUGUUUGUUGACGUAACCAUAAAGAAUAAAAUCUGACAAAUCCCUGGUUCAACUGUUAAAUCUGACAUAUCCCUGGUUCUAUUGUUAAAACCUGAUAUAUCCCUGGUUCUACUGUUAAAUCUGACAUAUCCCUGGAUCUACUGUUAAAUCUGACAUAUCCCUUGUUCUACUGUUAAAUCUGAAACAUCCCUGGUUCAACUGUUAAAACCUGAUAUAUCCCUGGAUGUACUGUUAAAUCUGACAUAUCCCUGGUUCUACUGUUAAAUCUGACAUAUCCCUGUUUCUACUGUUAAAUCUGACAUAUCCCUGGUUCUAGUGUUAAAAUCUGAUAUAUCCCUGGUUCUAGUGUUAAAUCUGAUAUAUCCGUGGAUCUACUGUUAAAUCUCACAUAUCCCUGGUUCUACUGUUAAAUCUGAUAUAUCCCUGGAUCUACUGUUAAAUCUGAUAUAUCCCUCGUUCUAGUGUUAAAUCUGAUAUAUCCCUGGUUCUACUGUUAAAUCUAAUAUAUCCUUGGUUCUACUGUUAAAUCUGAAAAAUCCCCGGUUCUAGUGUUAAAAUCUGAUAUAUCCCUGGUUCUACUGUUAAAAUUUGACAUAUCCCUGGUUCUAGUGUUAAACAUCUGGUGCAUCAAAAUUGGUACCCUAUAAGUUUUACAUUAUCACCCCUGGGUCUAGGCCUCUGCUGGUGGACUAUAAGUCCCCGAGGGUCUCUACAGCCCAGUAGCUAAAUACUUCGUUUCCAGCUUGACAAUACGGAUGUAUAUUUAAUUGUUGUUAUAAAAUUUAGAAAUUCGUUUCAAAAUUAAGGAUUAUUUCCCUUACGCAAUAGCUCUUAUCCUUAGACGAAUUUGACUCCACUUUUUUGGCACACUGUUUUUCCCUAAAAUAGCUCUAAAACUUCAUUGUUAUUUCGGAUUUCAAACAUUUCGGUUGAGUAUCACUGAAGAGACAUUAUUUGUUGAAAUGCGCAUCUGGUGCAUCAAAAUUGGUACCCUAUAAGUUUUACAUAUAGUUACAUGCCUGUUUUUCUAAUUAAAAAGUUCGACAUUAUAUAUUUGUGAAAAGGUUUCACGACCACCAUAUCGCCGACCACUUUUCUAGAUCCUUCUAGUAUGUCCUUAGUCGGCGAUCUCUGUACUGCUCUCAUUCCCUCAUCUUCGGCAUUUUUAGGUCACCUGAGUAAACUCACGUGACCUAUUGCAAUCGGUUGUCGUGCGUCGUCCGUCUUGGGUUAACAUUUUUAACUUCUUUUUGAUAACUACCAGUCCAAUUCUUUUCAAAUUUGGUAUGAAGUAUCUUUGGGACAAGGGGGACAUAAAUUGUAAAUUUCAGGUCUUCAAAACCCCUGGGGCCUUAGGGGCGGGGUAAAAACUGCCCAAAAUUGCCCAAUUUUCAAAAAAUCUUCUCAAGAAUCGCAAACGUGUAAGAAAAACUAAAUGCAUGGUAAUGGAGAGCAAGAAGGCCUUUACCAAAAUUGUAAAUUUCAUGAUCCCCGGAGUAGGGGUUCUGACCCCAGGGUGGGGCCAAACUUAGUAUAUGGUGUUUAUGUGUAAAACACCUAAAUAAGAUCUUCUUUAGUGCUGUUGAUACUAUAUUGAAACUAAAUAGAUAUUUAGAAAGAGCAGGUAGUCCUUUACCAAAAUUGUAAAUUUGAUGAUCCCAGGGGUAGAUAUUUUGGUAUCAGGGUGGGGUCAAAAUGGUCAGUUAUUAAUGUGUGAACAAUAGACAUUUUUAACUUCUUCUUGAUAACUAUCAUUCCAAUUCUUUUCAUAUUUGGUAUAAAGCAUCUUUGGAACAAGGGGGACAUAAAUUGUAAAUUCAGUAUUUCUGCACCCCUGGGGCCUUAGGGGCAGGGUAAAAACUGCCCAAAAUUGACCAAUUUCCAAAAAUCUUCUCAAGAACCACACACGUGUAAGAAAAACUAAAUGCAUGGUGAUGGAGAGCAGGAAGGCCUCUACCAAAAUUGUAAUUUCAUAAUCCCCGGGGUAGGGGUUCUGACCCCAGGGCAGGGUCAGACUUGUUAUAGAGUGUGUACGUGUAAAACACUUAAAUAACAUCUUCUUCAGUGCUGUUGAUACUAAAUUGAAACUAAAUGGAUAGAGAAGGUAGUCCUUUACCAAGAUUGUAAAUUUGAUGAUCCCAGAGUAAGGGUUCUGACCCCUGGGUGGGGCCAAACUUAGUAUAUAGUAUUUAUGUGUAAGUUUGCUGAUACUGUAUAAAAUCUAAAUGUAUACUUAGAAAUAGCAGAAAAGAAUGUACAAAAAAUGGUGAAUUUCAAUCAAAACCCAGGGUUAUGACUUUAGUAUGAGUCCAAAUUAGUCAUAUAUUUUGAUGUUUUAAUGUUAAUACACCUAUUAUUUAAUUAAAGCCUUUCAUCAGUAUAUGCACUUUUGGGGGAAGUGAAGUUUUAAGAACACAUUUUGUUUUAUACUGUUGCUGAACAUUAGAAUUUAGCUUAGAUAUUCAGAACAGGGAAUUUUUUUUCUAAAUUUCAUAGCCUAUGGAAGUAGUGAUACUUUUUCACUAGUAUUCAGGGGACCGAUAAGGCCUGUGGGCCUCUUGUGAACUUAUCCUUUUCGAAGAAUGCUUUUCUCUAGUUUUCCUUUACUUCUUUGAAUGUUUGGUGAUUACAGCUUCUCCAUCGUCAAUUUCCCAUAUUUAUGUAGCAGUAUUCCAAUUUCGCCUGCACAUGGUGUUUAUUUCUCUCAACUGAUUCAAUACACAAGAGCUUGUUCUGCGUAUGAUCAGUUUUUAAAUCGAGGCAGACUACUGAGAAACAAGUUGAUGGUGCGGGGGUUUCAACAGUCUCGUUUAAAGUCGGCAUUUCGCAAAUUUUAUAGUCGUUAUAACAAUGUAGUUUGCCAAAACAACCUAUCAUUAAGUCAAAUGCUGUCUGAUUUGUUUCAUGCCGAUUGAUGGGCCGUUUUUGGCACACUGAUUUUGUCUACCGAUAACUCCGUUUACCUAAUAAGAUAUAGGUCUCACGGCGUGUGUGACCGGUGGACAGGGGAUGCUUACUCCUCCUAGGCACCUGAUCCCACCUAUGAUAUAUCCAGGGACCUGUGUUUGCCCAACUCUCUAUUUUGUAUUCCUUAUAGGAGUACUGGCGACUGUCCAAAAUGACUUGAAACAUAACUCGUCUAAUGCCUGGAUAUUUAUUAAGUCAAUGAUUGACAUCAUGUAACUUUCCUCAACUUCAUACGAUAUACUGUUAAAACGAAACAAUAAUUGUAAACAAUGAAUUGAUACUGACAACACAUAUGAUCAUGUAUAAUAAUAAUUCAAACUAUCCAAAAACUGAUUUCAAUACAGAAAAUUGCUGUUUAUAACACAAACUGCACUAAACAAGCAGUACUCUGAUAGAAAUUAAAACAAAUAUAAAGAGCAUUUGUAGUGCACAACAAAAACAGAGUUAGUGCCCCUCAAGUUACAAAAAGUUUGAGUGCAACCAGUUUGCACCUUAUGAGUAAAUUAAUAUCGAUACACGGUCUUACUAUGUCAUAUAUAUCUUUACACUAUUGGUGAAUUAUAUUGCACAACACUGUAAUUCUGUGAACAUAGUUUGCAUAAAUAUUCGGGACAUGAACUACAUACACAUGUAUUUACUCAUAGAACAUACUUUAUAAACUGUAUCAAUUCAAAUAAAUAGACGUUUUGAAACAAAUGUAUGGAAUGUGCUAAUGUUCAUAAUUGUCUUACCGAAUAAGUAGUAUCUCUAGGAAACAGUAGUUCAGUACAAAUGUCCAGCUAAACGGGAACAUACACACGUUCUUUCCCGCGAGCUCGUGCAUACAGAAAAAAUAUAUGUGCCCUUAAAACUAUGACGUAACACGCAGAUAACGUGUACAUAUUGGCGCAAAAAUUCAAAUGUCGAAAUUGGCUGCUACUCUGUUUGUUAUAUUCACCGUUCAUGUAGGAAUUUUCUUCUUUCCUGGAUCUCUUGAGGAAACUGCUCGGAAAUUGAAAUGUACGUUCAAGUUUGUGAGCAUAUUUCUGUAUCAUAUCACAUUGUGGAAAUCUGACAAAUUUCGCCAUUAUUGGGCGAUACUAAUCAUUGCUUUUUCUGCCCAUUCCAUGAACCCUUUCAAUGAGAAUAUCCUGUAAUCUAAGUUAGAGGCGCAUAUGUCAUCAUAGUUUUCAAUUUUUUCUCUCUUGGUUUUAUUCACUCCAUGAAACAAAAGACUAUCUUGCAUCGACCUACAUUUAAGUUCCAUUUCAAUUUUUUUUACUGAUAUCAGGACAUCUUCUCUGAGAUGGUCGUUUAUUUUGAUUGAAUUUUUUUAUGACCGAUUUCAAAUCAGUUCGUUUUUUAAUCAUCUAUUGCUUUGACCGUACUCUUCUUGUUGUCGUCAAGAGAUCUAAGAAAUAUAUAAUCUUGACUCUCUUCGACAUCAGCCACCCUAGCUUUCAUUGAGACUUUUAAUUUUUCGUUUCUUGUUUGCCAGAGAUUUUAAUGGAAUCAAAAUAUUCAAAUGUUAUAUUCAUUUUAUCAAGUUGGUUCACAUUGUCUUGUGCUCACUGAGGAUAUUCUUGAGGAGUGCUCGAUAAUGAGUAUUGUGACCUGAUGUGCAUUUAGAAUUGCAAUUGAUUGGUUGUAUGUUGUAUGAAUUUUUCACUCAUAUGGAGACAUCACUAUUGCCGGUGAAAGACUGUAAAAUUUAAGCCUAUGCUCGGCGCUUACGGCAUUUGAGCAGGGAGGGAUCUUCAUCGUGACACAGGACCUCGGGUUUUGCGGUUACAUACGAAGGCCCGCCCCAUUUAGUCGUCUUCUACGACAAGCAAGAGGGGUACUGGGGAACACAAAUAUUAUAUUGAUCACGUGUUAAACAUGAUAACUGUACCUGUCAUAGCAAAUCAUCGCUUUUAAAAUUAAUAUUUAACCUAGUCCAUCGACGACUUAACAGUUUCCGAAAUGUUUACAUCAGCAUAAUUUGCAUUUGCACGGGAUAGUUCAUCAGACGGAUGUUUUCGAUGACUAUACAGAUUUUAUACACAAAGAAUAAGCCUUUAAUAUAGUGUUAAUCAUACUUUUUACACAGGCAACUGUUCACUAACAUUGACAUUCACUGCAUUGUACACUUCCCCCAUCCCACUGACCAAAAGUCACAAUAAAAGGCGAGCAGCUAUGUCUUUAUUUUAAAGCUGUGUACUUAACUGUCAAAUCAGCAAAAUCACACCUCUUUAGUACAGGAAGGUUUGUCAGCCAUGAAUACUUAUAUUAUCUGAUGUUUGAAUGACUUCUAUUUUAUAACAUUGAUUACUUUAUACAAUGACUACUGUUAAUUAACCUUGAAACAUUUAAGUAUCGUUCAUCCCUCUGACCGAAAGUCCCGAUAAAAGGCGAGCAGCAGUUUGUCUGACCGCAGCUUUCUGGGGUCUCUCGAGAAGUCAGUAUGCAUUCUGUCUGUGUUGCUUUGCUUUUCUUCGUCUUAGCGUGCAGCGCCCAAGACAUUGAAGACACCGUGACCUGCUGUGCUCCUCGUCUUCUUCAAGGAGAUGCCUACACGUCUGGUAUCACUUUUACCAGGGGAAGAAACAUUUACUUCAAUGCCAAUACAAGGUACUACUAUUCUGAGGUAAAAAAGAAGAUAGCCACCUACUCGGUCGUGAUGGUGCAGGGUCUGGGAAACGUGACGGUGAAUGUCUUGAAUGACUUCAACACUGGUAGAGGAUACACCGUAACCAAUGGCCGAUGUAGAGUCACCAGACUGCCGAAAACCUUUCCGAGAAACUGUAUUCCUUCUAGCGCUGUCUAUCUUGGUAGUCUCAAAGUCGGAUCGGCAUCAAGGUCCCUUAGGGCAAGCAGUUACAAAUAUACGGUAAAACCGUCCUUUUCAACUUCAGUAGACAUGUUCUCCUUUAAGUAUCGGUACGGAUUGAGCUGUUAUGACAUAGCAUCGUCCAUCAAUAUUAAGACCUCGACUGGAGCUUUAAAGACAAGGACGUCCAUGAUCAUGGGGAAUUUCAAAACCUCUAUCCCCUUUUCAUCCGUGUUCAACGUGCCCUCCGAGUGUUCAACUUACAUGUCUCCAGAGAUGGAAAACAUGUUUGAUGAAACUGCGUUUGACUUCAUAAAGUAUAUUAUUUGAAAGGCAAGGCUUUAAAAGACAGCUUGUAAAUGUCUGGUUUUCUUAUUCGUACUUGUCCUGUGUUAUUUCUCGUGUAGUAAAUACACAAAAUAUACUGUAUAUAUGUAUUGUUUCUUCAUUUCAGUCUUAAGCAUUAAAAGUAUUGUAACCAUACCAUUAAAACAAAAUUUCUGGCAUGUAUAUCGAAAUGAUAGCAUUGGCAUAUGGCUUGUAUUGUUCUGUAGGAAUAAAAGUGUAAGAUGCCA